rnacentral:rRNA from 1 species
GUGAGGAAUUUUGCGCAAUGGGGGCAACCCUGACGCAGCGACGCCGCGUGGAGGACGAAGUCUUUCGGGAUGUAAACUCCUGUCAGUGGGGACGAUAAUGACGGUACCCACAGAGGAAGCACCGGCUAACUCCGUGCCAGCAGCCGCGGUAAGACGGAGGGUGCAAGCGUUGUUCGGAAUUACUGGGCGUAAAGCGUAUGUAGGCGGCAAGUUAAGUUCAAUGUUAAAGCCCACGGCUCAACCGAGGAGAUGCAUUGAAUACUGGCUAGCUAGAGGGUGUUAGAGGAAGACGGAAUUCCCAGUGUAGCGGUGAAAUGCGUAGAUAUUGGGAGGAACAUCGGUAGCGAAAGCGGUCUUCUGGGACAUACCUGACGCUGAGGUACGAAAGCGUGGGGAGCAAACGGGAUUAGAAACCCCUGUAGUCC